AACGCACAUUGCGCCCCUUGGUAUUCCAUGGGGCAUGCCUGUUCGAGCGUCAUUUGUACUCUCAAGCUCUGCUUGGUGUUGGGCGUCUUGUCUAGCUACUAGACUCGCCUCAAAUGAAUUGGCAGCCAGUGUAUUGGUCUUGAGCGCAGCACAAUUUGCACUCUUGCCAGCUAUAUCUGGUAUCCAGAAGCCUUUUAUCACGCUUGACCUCGGAUCAGGUAGGGAUACCCGCUGAACUUAA
rnacentral:misc_RNA from 1 species